rnacentral:tRNA from 1 species
GCAAGGUUGCCGGAGCGGUCAAACGGGAUAGGCUCAAGACCUAUUGGCUUAGUGCCUACGCAGGUUCGAAUCCUGUACCUUGCA